UUAGCGGCGGACGGGUGAGUAACACGUGGGCAACCUGCCCCUUAGACUGGGAUAACUCCGGGAAACCGGAGCUAAUACCGGAUAAUCCCUUUCUCCACCUGGAGAGAGGGUGAAAGAUGGCUUCGGCUAUCACUAGGGGAUGGGCCCGCGGCGCAUUAGCUAGUUGGUAAGGUAACGGCUUACCAAGGCGACGAUGCGUAGCCGACCUGAGAGGGUGAUC
rnacentral:rRNA from 1 species